AUGGGCUACAUGGAAGAUUACACGGGUGUGUAUCUGAAAACUUCAUUUGAGGGUGUAUUUACUGUGUCAGUUAAGGAGAACAACAACUCAGAGACAGAUUUACAUCGGGAGGUGUAUAAAGUUGGGCCACUUGAAAUUGAGUGCAUGGUCAAGGAGCACUCGAACUUCAUGUCAUAUUCAGUUCUCAGUAACUUCAGGCAUUUGAACAUUGUUUCUGUUGAAAAUUUCUAUUUGGAUAAACAUGGUAAUGGAUGCAUGGUCCUGUCCUCGGUGGAUCAAACUCUAAGAAGCUGGUUGUUGAAAGUGCGACGUGGAGGACGAAAGUUGAAGGCAUUUGAGUCAACCUAUAUGAGUAGCAAGCUUUCGAAGGUCUUUAGAAAAAUGGCUAUCGGCAUGUGUGAUGUUCUGGAAAGUAUGUUUAAAAUUGGAAUCUACCCUAAAUCUAUCAGACUGGCCGAUAUUUACCUUGUUAAUCAUGCAUCCCCAACUGUGAAAAUUCUCAUCUCUGAAGGUACGUAUACUAAACAAAGUCUCUGCAAUUUCCUUCUUUUUCCAUCUUGA
rnacentral:rRNA from 1 species